GACGUAGGUGGCAAACGUUAUCCGGAAUUAUUGGGCGUAAAGGGUGCGUAGAUGGCCUGAUAAGUUAGCAGUGGGAAAUCGAGGCUCAACCUCGUGGAAGCUGGUAAUACUGUCAGGCUCGAGUGCAGGAGAGGUUAACGGAACUCCAUGUGGAGCGGUAAAAUGCGCAGAUAUCGGGAAGAACACCCGUGGCGAAGGCGGCACUCUGGGACGGUACUGACGCUGAGACGCGAAAGCGUGGGGAGCGAACAGG
rnacentral:rRNA from 1 species